AGGAUGCACGCACGUGACUGAAACGGUCCCAGACUCUACGGAAGCAGCAGUGGGAAUAUUGCACCAAUGGGCGCCAAGCUGAUGCAGCAUGCGCGUGUAUGAAGAAGCCUUCGGUUUAAGUACUUUCAGCGGGGAGGAAGGCGAUAAGGGUUAAUAACUUGUCGAUUGACGUACCCGCAGAAGAAGCACGGCUAACUCGUGCCAGCAGCCGCGGUAAUACGGAGGGUGCAAGCGUAAUCGGAAUUACUGGGCGUAAAGCGCACGCAGGCGGUCUGUCAAGUCGGAUGUGAAAUCCCCGGGCUCAACCUGGGAACUGCAUUCGAAACUGGCAGGCUAGAGUCUUGUAGAGGGGGGUAGAAUUCCAGGUGUAGCGGUGAAAUGCGUAGAGAUCUGGAGGAAUACCGGUGGCGAAGGCGGCCCCCUGGACAAAGACUGACGCUCAGGUGCGAAAGCGUGGGGAGCAAACAGGAUUAGAUACCCUGGUAGUCCACGCCGUAAACGAUGUCGACUUGGAGGUUGUGCCCUUGAGGCGUGGCUUCCGGAGCUAACGCGUUAAGUCGACCGCCUGGGGAGUACGGCCGCAAGGUUAAAACUCAAAUGAAUUGACGGGGGCCCGCACAAGCGGUGGAGCAUGUGGUUUAAUUCGAUGCAACGCGAAGAACCUUACCUACUC
rnacentral:rRNA from 1 species